rnacentral:rRNA from 1 species
GACGAACGCUGGCGGCGUGCUUAACACAUGCAAGUCGAACGUGUGGCGAACGGUGGCGUAAUACGUGGGCAACCUGCCCUAUCUUAGGGAUAAGCCUUGGAUACGGGGUCUAAUACAGAAUAAAGUGGGAUGGGCUCGCGGUCUAUCAGCCUGUUGUUGGGGUGAUGGCUUACCCGGGGGGUGACGGGUCGCCGGCCUGAGGGGGUGACGGGCCACAGUGGGAGUGAGAUACGGCCCAGACUCCGACGGGGGGGAGCAGUGGGGGAUAUUGCACAAUGGGCGAAAGCCUGAUGCAGCGACGGCGCGUGGGGGAUGAGGGCUUUAGGGUUGUGAAGCUCUUUCGCUGUCGUAGGGUAGGUGGAGAAGAAGUGCCGGCUAACUACGUGCCAGCAGCCGCGGUAAUAC